rnacentral:rRNA from 1 species
GACGAACGCUGGCGGCGUGCUUAACACAUGCAAGUCGAACGGACAGGCCCUGCGUUUGUGGGGUGCUCGAGUGGCGAACGGGUGAGUAACACGUGAGUAACCUCCCCUUGUCUUUGGGAUAUCUUCACGAAACUGGGGCUAUUACCGGAUAGGAGCUUCUGCUGCAUGUUGGGGGUAGGAGAGUUUCGGCGGUUGUGGAUGUACUCGCGGCUUAUCAGCUUGUUGGUGUGGUAGUGGCUUACCAAGGCUUUGACGGGUAGCCGGCAUGAGAGGGUGACCGGCGACAAUGGGACUGAGAGAGGGACCAGACUCCUACGGGAGGCAGCAGUCGGAAAUAUUGCACAAUGGGCGGAAGCCUGAUACAGCGACGCCGCGUGCGGGAUGACGGCCUUCGGGUUGUAAACCGCUGUCGCCUGUGACGAAGCGUGAGUGACGGUAAUGGGUAAAGAAGCACCGGCUAACUACGUG